rnacentral:rRNA from 1 species
GACGAACGCUGGCGGCGUGCCUAAUACAUGCAAGUAGAACGCACAGUUUAUACCGUAGCUUGCUACACCAUAGACUGUGAGUUGCGAACGGGUGAGUAACGCGUAGGUAACCUGCCUGGUAGCGGGGGAUAACUAUUGGAAACGAUAGCUAAUACCGCAUAAUAUUAAUUAUUGCAUGAUAAUUAAUUGAAAGGUGCAAUUGCACCACUACCAGAUGGACCUGCGUUGUAUUAGCUAUUAGGUGAGGUAACGGCUCACCUAGGCGACGAUACAUAGCCGACCUGAGAGGGUGAUCGGCCACACUGGGACUGAGACACGGCCCAGACUCCUACGGGAGGCAGCAGUAGGGAAUCUUCGGCAAUGGACGAAAGUCUGACCGAGCAACGCCGCGUGAGUGAAGAAGGUUUUCGGAUCGUAAAGCUCUGUUGUAAGAGAAGAACGGGUGUGAGAGUGGAAAGUUCACACUGUGACGGUAUCUUACCAGAAAGGGACGGCUAACUACGUG